GAUGAACGCUAGCGGCAGGCCUAACACAUGCAAGUCGAGGGGUAACUAGAGUGAUAGCAAUAUUACUUUGGCUAGACCGGCGCACGGGUGCGUAACACGUAUGCAACCUACCUUAUACUGGGGAAUAACUUCGAGAAAUCGGCGCUAAUACCCCAUAACAUUGCGAAGAGGCAUCUCUUCGCAAUUAAAGCUCCGGCGGUAUAAGAUGGGCAUGCGUCCAAUUAGCUAGUUGGUGAGGUAACGGCUCACCAAGGCUACGAUUGGUAGGGGUUCUAAGAGGAUGAUCACCCACCCUGGUACUGGGACACGGGCCAGACUCCUUCGGGAGGCAGCAGUUAGGAAUAUUGAGCAAUGGACGAAAGUCUGACGCAGCCAUGCCGCGUGCAGGAUGACGGCCCUAUGGGUUGUAAACUGCUUUUGUACGGGAAUAAACCCUUCUACGUGUAGGAGGCUGAAGGUACCGUAAGAAUAAGCACCGGCUAACUCCGUGCCAGCAGCAGCCGCCGUAA
rnacentral:rRNA from 1 species